GAUGAACGCUGGCGGCGUGCCUAAUACAUGCAAGUCGAGCGAACAGACGAGGAGCUUGCUCCUCUGACGUUAGCGGCGGACGGGUGAGUAACACGUGGAUAACCUACCUAUAAGACUGGGAUAACUUCGGGAAACCGGAGCUAAUACCGGAUAAUAUAUUGAACCGCAUGGUUCAAUAGUGAAAGACGGUUUUGCUGUCAAUUAUAGAUGGAUCCGCGCCGCAUUAGCUAGUUGGUAAGGUAACGGCUUACCAAGGCGACGAUGCGUAGCCGACCUGAGAGGGUGAUCGGCCACACUGGAACUGAGACACGGUCCAGACUCCUACGGGAGGCAGCAGUAGGGAAUCUUCCGCAAUGGGCGAAAGCCUGACGGAGCAACGCCGCGUGAGUGAUGAAGGUCUUCGGAUCGUAAAACUCUGUUAUUAGGGAAGAACAAAUGUGUAAGUAACUAUGCACGUCUUGACGGUACCUAAUCAGAAAGCCACGGCUAACUACGUG
rnacentral:rRNA from 1 species